UUUCCUUUUUUAUGGGAUCACGAUUAUUUUUCCCGAACAAGGAAGAGGUGGUUCGGGAGCCCAGCCCACCCAAUCCUCUCUAGCGCCUCAAGCAGCAGACGCACGCAGGAAGCACAAACCCAUGACCCCGACCUCGCAGCGCGCUAGGGUUAGCCUGCCGCCCAUCCUCACCCGGCGCCGCCUCCGGUCCAGAUAGAUGAGACGAUAGGAUCCCCACGAGCGCGUGAAGCCCUGCCGAUGCGGGAGAUGGACCUGGAGGUUUACGUCCACGAGGGUGACGGGCAGGUCGUGCGGCGCUGCAAGGACAAGAGCACCGUCUCCGGCGUCAGGUACGUCCGUAAGGAUGCGCCUGGUAUUUCGUGCGUGCACUGCUGGUUUUCGCCAUCUUUCCCUAGAGACAGCCACUCCAGGAGGAAUGGGUGUUUCGUGGCUGCGUUGCGGCCCUCCGCAUGCAUAGGAGGCCGACUGCAGUGAGUUCAUCGGCUGCGUCCACCAGUCUUGAUGUUGCAGAGGUCAGAGGGUUUCCAGGAGAAUCAGACUAUCCCUCCAGGCCCCAAGAAAGAGGGCAAGAGUGAGCGGUGCAGUGUUAGGUUUGGAAGUACCAAGGCACAACCUUAAUUAGUGGCUGAUAGGGUGCUCUAGGUACUGCACGGCAUGGUAUUACUGACCUGCAGCUUGAUGAUUCGAUCAGGUGAGGUUUGCCGUAAUAUUCAUUGUCUAUGCUAUUGAACAUGAGCUUUGGGUACUUGACAUCGUAAAACAUGGUGAAGGAUCAAAUGAUUUGCUUCAUUUGAUCGUACAGUGUGGGCAGUUCUAGGUGAGUUGGUUGUACUGGACAUUAAUUUAGGCCAUGCUCAAAAGUUCCCGAGUUCACAUAUAUAGUAACAAAUUUGCCUUGUUUCUUCUAAAAGAGUCGAUUUUGCAUGUAUUUAACAGAAAUGUUAUCAAGUCUGCUACAUUCAAAAUCUUGAUAAUAUUUCUAAUGUAUUGAUAUGGUGUAAAUAUUUUAAAGAAUUUGUAUGUAGAAAACCAAUUACAGUUAGAUAGAAAAUUUAGCUUGCUAUAAGGAAUUCCGAGGCAGGUUUGGUCCCAAUGUCUUGGGACAAAUGCAUGGGUUUUCACUCUGCUAAUAUGGAGACCUUUGUGCCAGCUGGUUUGGUGCAUUCAGCUUAGUCAGGAACAUUCUUCAGGAUAGAGCUACUGGAAGCAAGUAACAUGUGCAUAUUAUUCGUCCAUAACAAGAACUUAAAUCCAUAAUCUGAUAAAAGUGAAGGUCAGAUAGAGGAAUAUCACUGGUCCUGUCAAGAAAGAAUGCUCCUAUUGUUUUAUUUUUGUCAAUAAACAAUUACGUGUAUGGGGGUUGCCCCAUGGAUGAAGCAAGGUGAUGUCGAUGGCCGUCCGGCCUGGUCCUCAUAUCGAUCGGUUUGUUGCUGGUCUUUGAUGCUUGAUCUUCUGUUAUCUUCGGCCGGCAUGGUGCUUAGUAAACAAGCAUGAUCUACUUAUGAGAAGUGGGUAUACUUUUUCUUCAGUUCUCUUCGUAAGAGUUCUUUGAUCCUUGUGAAGACUUGACAUGAAUUAUAGUGGAUGCAGGGCAUGAAUGGUAGGACGUGCUUCCGUCGCCGCCCCUGGUCCUCCACUCCUCCUCUCCCCUGCCUCCCCUUCUGCUAGCAGCAGCGGCCGGGGCCGCGCGAAGCAGUAACGAAGGACAACGGUGGCAGCGAGUGGACGGAUGGAGGUCACGGGCAUGUCUCCUCUCUAUGUCCUCCUGAACAUCAUAGCUCUAUACGUGUCACGGUCAAUCGGCAAUAUAAGCAACGAACGUAUCCAACCUCUUGUGAUCCCUUCGUCCCUAAGCUUUGGACCAGUGAAUUUUUCGUCUCUUCGUAAAACACACAAUUUCCAUAUCUUAUAAACUGCCCUUGCAAGUGCAAGUGAUACUGCAAAUGUCAUCUUGUUUGAUUUAUUUUGCCAUUUAUUUGAUUCGUGUCCUUCGAUUUGUAUAGUUCUUUAAUGAUUGAUAUUACUUGAUAAGAAAUGGGGAAAUACUUUGAAGUCCAAUAUAGGGGAAUAUGGCAGUUUUGGAGGUGCGGACAUUGCUUAUCUGAAUCUAUGGUUCAAUGGAUAUGACUAAUUAUCUGAAUCUAGAUGAUUUUCAUGUUUUUUCUUGCUUGCAUGAUAUGAGCAUGACUGAUGUGAAGUUCGAUAUAGGUUGGCCGUAGAGCCGGAAGUACAAUAUUUCCACUGCUGGCAUAUAUCUCCAGAUAUAUUUGUUCAUGUGUGUAAUUUUCUUCACAAGCUGUUGACUUGGUUAAGAAACACACGAAUUUCAGACAUAACUGGGUUAAUGCAUUUGCGCGGGAUAUUACAUCAGAACAACCGAUAGUGGUUGUGGAGCCGUCCUUUGCGACUGCAGUUGCACUGGAAAAGAAUUCAUUGUUUCUGCAAAACCUUAGAAAUAUACUCAAAGUAAGUACUGCUUUUACUUUCAACCAUGAGACCGGAAUUUUUUUCAUUUCAUGGAUGUUUCCUUAAUGAUUUAGAAAACUGAAAUCGUGCAUUCUGUAUACCAUGGCGUGUGGCCGUGUAAACUUGUCAUGUGUUUUAUUUUUCUCAUAGAAGAGAUGUGCUGUAAUAAUUUUGGAACGACCAUAUGAGAUAUGUGGAUGUGAAUAAUGUACUGGUGCAUGCCUCCUAAAAUCGUCAACACUAGAGUCAUGCACUAACAUUUGUUUUUUCAGGCUUUCAGCAAAAUUUGAGAUGGCUAAUUAACAGAGUGGUAGAGCAUUUCGAUUCCUUUCCUUGUUUAAGUUGGACAAUCUAAAACCACACAAUGGCGUCGUGGCGGUAAUUCCAAAGGUUAUUUAGUGAGACGUAUAGGGACUUUGUCUUCCUGUUGGGUAAGGGUGGAAUGAAACACAUGAAGAUCAAGGAAACGACAACCGGUUACAGUUCAAAGGAAGCCCGUUGGCAAGAAAAACAUUGACGCUUGUCAACUCUGGCAAUGGACUAAAAACAUUCCCCUAUAAAGUCAUUUUUGAUUGUCUAGGGAGUAUAACCAUUAAUUUAUGUGCUUCAGAAUGGUGGAGUAAAUGAGCCAGGAUUAAGUUAGAAAAGUUGUCUCAACCCGUGCAAAGGUUAAGAUUUUCCUUUAGUGUUUAAGCUUCUAGGAUAUACUGUAGCCGUUGAAUGUUAAUACUGAACAAUAUUAAGGUUUGAGUUGUGG